CGUACGGGUGAGUAACACGUGGAUAACCUGCCCUUUAGUGGGGAAUACCGUUGGGAAACCGACGACAAUACCGCAUAAGCUCGAGAGAGGAAAGCAGCAAUGCGCUGAAGGAGGGGUCCGCGGUCGAUUAGCUGGUUGGUGAGGUAAUGGCUCACCAAGGCUGUGAUCGAUAGCCGGCCUGAGAGGGCACACGGCCACACUGGCACUGAAACACGGGCCAG
rnacentral:rRNA from 1 species